GAUGAACGCUGGCGGCGUGCCUAAUACAUGCAAGUCGAGCGAACAGACGAGGAGCUUGCUCCUCUGACGUUAGCGGCGGACGGGUGAGUAACACGUGGAUAACCUACCUAUAAGACUGGGAUAACUUCGGGAAACCGGAGCUAAUACCGGAUAAUAUAUUGAACCGCAUGGUUCAAUAGUGAAAGACGGUUUUGCUGUCACUUAUAGAUGGAUCCGCGCCGCAUUAGCUAGUUGGUAAGGUAACGGCUUACCAAGGCAACGAUGCGUAGCCGACCUGGGAGGGGGAUCGGCCACACUGGAACUGAGACACGGUCCAGACUCCUACGGGAGGCAGCAGUAGGGAAUCUUCCGCAAUGGGCGAAAGCCUGACGGAGCAACGCCGCGUGAGUGAUGAAGGUCUUCGGAUCGUAAAACUCUGUUAUUAGGGAAGAACAAAUGUGUAAGUAACUAUGCACGUCUUGACGGUACCGAAUCAGAAAGCCACGGCUAACUACGU
rnacentral:rRNA from 1 species